rnacentral:piRNA from 1 species
UACACCCUCAGUAGGUUGCCUGGUGAUC